GGAUGUUCCAGUUGAUCGCAUGGUCUUCUGGGAAAGCUUUCGCGGUAUGGGAUGGGGUCGCGUCCUAUCAGCUUGACGGCGGGGUAACGGCCCACCGUGGCUUCGACGGGUAGCCGGCCUGAGAGGGCGACCGGCCACAUUGGGACUGAGAUACGGCCCAGACUCCUACGGGAGGCAGCAGUGGGGAAUAUUGCACAAUGGGCGCAAGCCUGAUGCAGCGACGCCGCGUGAGGGAUGGAGGCCUUCGGGUUGUAAACCUCUUUUAUCGGGGAGCAAGCGUGAGUGAGUUUACCCGUUGAAUAAGCACCGGCUAACUACGUGCCAGCAGCCGCGGUAAUACGUAGGGUGCAAGCGUUAUCCGGAAUUAUUGGGCGUAAAGGGCUCGUAGGCGGUUCGUCGCGUCCGGUGUGAAAGUCCAUCGCUUAACGGUGGAUCCGCGCCGGGUACGG
rnacentral:rRNA from 1 species